rnacentral:tRNA from 1 species
GGCCGACUAGCUCAGUUGGUUAGAGCGUGGUGCUAAUACUUACGUAACGCCAAGGUCGUCGGUUCGACCCCGGCGUUGGCCA